rnacentral:rRNA from 1 species
ACACCGGCAGCCCGAGUGGUGGCCACUAUUAUUGGGCCUAAAGCGUCCGUAGCCGGUCCGGUAAGUCCCUGUGGAAAUCCUCAGGCUCAACCUGAGGAAAUGCGGGGAUACUGCCGGACUCGGGGCCGGGAGACGCGGAGGGUACUCCAGGGGUAGCGGUGAAAUGCUGUAAUCCCUGGGGGACCACCAGUGGCGAAGGCGCUCCGCGAGAACGGGCCCGACGGUGAGGGACGAAAGCCAGGGGAGCGAACGGGAUUAGAUACCCUUGUAGUCC